rnacentral:misc_RNA from 1 species
GCCGCAUCGGUGCCCUCAUAUUGCUACGACGGGGAAUAUUUGUGUGUACUGCCCCGGAGGACCUGAUUCGGAUUUUGAGUACAGUACUCAAUCUUACACUGGUUAUGAGCCUACAAGCAUGCGUGCAAUUCGUGCAAGAUACAACCCAUAUGUCCAGGCUAGAAGCAGGAUAGAUCAGUUGAAGCGUUUGGGUCACAGUGUUGACAAGGUU